rnacentral:rRNA from 1 species
CCAGACUCCUACGGGAGGCAGCAGUGGGGAAUAUUGCACAAUGGGGGAAACCCUGAUGCAGCGACGCCGCGUGAGUGAAGAAGUAAUUCGUUAUGUAAAGCUCUAUCAGCAGGGAAGAAAAUGACGGUACCUGAGUAAGAAGCCCCGGCUAACUACGUGCCAGCAGCCGCGGUAAUACGUAGGGGGCAAGCGUUAUCCGGAUUUACUGGGUGUAAAGGGAGCGUAGACGGCAGUGCAAGUCAGAUGUGAAAUCCACGGGCUCAACCCGUGAACUGCAUUUGAAACUGUUUCCCUUGAGUGUCGGAGAGGUAAUCGGAAUUCCUUGUGUAGCGGUGAAAUGCGUAGAUAUAAGGAAGAACACCAGUGGCGAAGGCGGCUUACUGGACAGUAACUGACGUUGAGGCUCGAAAGCGUGGGGAGCAAACAGGAUUAGAUACCCGAGUA